rnacentral:misc_RNA from 1 species
GUGAAACUGAGCUCUAAAGAAAAGUUUCUGGUUGUUAGGCAAAGGCCAUCUGGUUUAAGUAAAUUUGGUUGAGUAGGCAGCCAUGGUGGUGUUGGGAGUUGUUUGUCCACAGCCACAGCAUAUCGUUGUUUCAAUUCGAACCCAAAUUCCUCCAAUUUCUACACAAACCCAAUAUUGUACAAGGCGUAAAGCUUUGAUAUUUACUUCUUCUAUGAUUUCCUCUUUCAUAUAUACAUCUCAUCACUCUCCUGCAACUGCUUUCCAAAUCGAAAUGCCUCAACAAGAAGAAGACAGACUAGUUCACCUCUUUCAGGAUACUUCCCCUUCUGUUGUUUUCAUUAAGGACCUUGAGUUGGCUAAAGGCUCCAAUGACUCUACUAAGGUGCUAGCCGACGAUGAUAAUGCAAAAGUGGAAGGGACAGGUUCAGGCUUCAUUUGGGAUAAGUUUGGUCACAUUGUAACCAAUUACCAUGUCAUUACUAAAUUAGCUACUGAUAACAUCGGACUGCAGCGUUGUAAGGUUUCUUUAGUGAAUACUAAAGGAGAGAGCAUAGUUAAGGAUGCGAAGAUCGUAGGUGUUGAUCCAGCAUAUGAUCUGGCCGUUCU